AUCUAAAUGAUGAGUCCCAACUAGGAGGAAACGCGCGUCCUGGAU
rnacentral:hammerhead_ribozyme from 1 species